rnacentral:rRNA from 1 species
UACGUAGGCAGCAAGCGUUGCUCGGAGUUACUGGGCGUAAAGGGUGCGUAGGCGGCUUUUUAAGUUUGGUGUGAAAUCUCCCGGCUCAACUGGGAGGGUGCGCCGAAUACUGAGAGGCUAGAGUGUGGGAGAGGAAAGUGGAAUUCCUGGUGUAGCGGUGAAAUGCGUAGAUAUCAGGAGGAACACCGGUGGUGUAAACGGCUUUCUGGACCAUAACUGACGCUGAGGCACGAAAGCGUGGGUAGCAAACAGG